UUGCGACAAAAACUCUGUAUUAUGACCGUGAAACAAAAACCCCCUUCUGUUAACUUUCUUUUGAAAUUCGCCGUUACAAUAUUUUUUAAUCUCCAUAUUACCAUCCUUCCUUGUAAUAAGAAAAAUACUGUUCAUCUUCCUUAGGAUACACGAAUAGCUGUUCUCCAAUAUUUUCCCUCGCUUUGUUCGUCGCGUAUCAACAUCAUAUCAGGUUUUGUCCUUGACAUGUUUACAGGAGCGAAUCACUUCGUCCCGCGCGGAACUAUCGAGUCUCCGGCAAAACUUAACCUUUCCUGGAUCCGGUCCGGGCUGCGUAGCACCCCAGCUAGAUAUCGGUGUCAUGGAGAUUAAGCGCCUGGGUUCAGACAUGGCUUAUUCUGAAAGGUAGAGAACUUAUCGAUCUCCCCUUUUCUCCUCCCCUAUAGCCACCGGAAGAGCAACCCCUCCUCCUCCAUUUCCACCGCCUCCUCCGCCUUCAAACCCGUCACCGACUUCCACCGCUGCAUUUGAUUGCAGCGGCGGAAUCGAACUCAACAGCGGCGAAUCCACCACCGGCCCCUCUCCCUCUCUCUCUCCAUCGUUGUUUGAAAUUUUGGAAUUUAAUUUUGAUUUCCUUCACUUGGGCGAUAAACGCAACAUCUGCAACGGUAACGACAACAAUGUUCAAAAUCGUCAGGGUCGUUGCUUCUUCUACCACCCGCAGAACAGCGAAACCAACAACUUUGAUUCCUCCAGGGGCCUCCACCAGGCCAGGUAUGCUCGCUCUCUGUGCCUGCGGCAUCACCGGCACUGGCAUCGAAUCGUUUGUGACCUUGUAUCAUCACGACCUGCCAUAAGAACUGGAGGACAGAUAUGGGGGAUGGUUGAACCCUCUAAUACAGGAAGAUUUUGUGUAUUUUGCGCAAAUCUGUUUUAGGAGCUUCGGGGAUCUGGUGAAGUUAUGGAGUAGCUUGAAUGAGCCCAACGCGUAUGCUCUUUAAGCGUAUCUCUUGGGACUGUAUCCACCAUCUGUUGGGACUGUAUCCACCAGGCCAUUGUUCGGAGAUUGAAGUUGUAAAAUUAUUAUUAAGGAUCUCGAUUUGCACAGUAAGAAGCCUCCGGGGGAGGGAUUUGAAGGAAUAACUAUUAAAAUUUGGGGAAUGGGAGAGAACAAGACUUAGAGGAAGAAGAGGAAUCGGGGAGAGAGAGAAAUGUGGAAUACUGCCGCUGCUGUUCGUGUACCGUUAAUUGGGGAAGAUGAACAGUAUUUUUCUCCUAAUUUCGUGUAACGGCAGAUUUCAACGAAAAGCAAACAAAGGGGGGUUUUUGUGUCACAGUCAUAGUACAGGAGGAGGAUCUUUGUCAUAAAACAAAAGACAGGGGUCUUUGCCACAGACCCAUAGCACAGGGGGGCUUGCAUAUUAACGAAAAUAUCUCAAAAACAUACAACAGAAAAUAAAAGUCCUAAUUUCUUUGAACUAUUCCAGUUAAUCGACUAACUCUAUCCUUGCGAUUUAUAUAUUGUCUUAAACCAUCCUUAUUGUCUAUCCUUGUCCUUAGCAUAUGUUAAUAUUCCAUCAACAAAAUCGUUGGUGAUAUAAUUUUUUUCUAAAAUCCAAUAUCACCCUUCGUCCCUUUUCUCUGUAAGUCGGGUAAGAAUCACCGCCCGUGCCUGUGUCAUAUUUGAUCACCGUCCUCUCUCUUCAUUCUCUCCCCACCCUCGCCAAUGCAGCAUUGUCAUUAUCUACGAUUUUCCCUCGUCAGUGGAGCAUCUUUGUUAGUAGCAACUGGUUAUUCUAAUAGAAAUCACAGCUGCCUGAGAUUUAAACUUCCCUAUAGUGAACCGGUCAACUGGGUUUCCCAAAUCGUUUCUUCUCAAGGGUCGGAGAUCGCCUCAUCCUUCAACCUCCUUGAUGCCAAUCUUGCCCUCUCAACGAUCAACCUCCUUGAUGACCGUAGUACUGUAGAGGUUUCUGCGACCAAGCCCAGUUUUGGACCUCAUCACCGAUGGCUAUGUUCAAACCGUAAGCUAAUGUUUUGCCAUUAGCGUCUCGUAAGCACCUUYGUGCUGAGCCGUCAGAGCACAAAAGUGGAUGCUAAACUAAAGGUGCAUCAAUUGAUACCUUCUGCCUCAUAAACUUCUCCAGCGGCUUCACUGGUCGCUGGUCUGCCAUUCUCAGUGUCUAGAACUAUAAACAAUAGUCAGAACAUCGGCUUACCAAUCGCCUACCAUGUCCACCCUCGUCCAGUCAAGUGCUUCGCCUAUCUUCAUUCUCACUUGCACCUCCUUGUUAGGCCUAGCUAGGCAAAUCGAUGAGCCUUCUAAGGUUGAGCGAGGGAGCCGCUUUCUUCUAGGGUCGACUUCCCGGUUAGCUUCUUUGCUCUCUGGCCAGCAGUCGCUCCUGUUCUUCCCUCCAGCAUCUUGUCCUGGGCGGAUUGUACUUCGCCCUCGACAAAUGGUCGGCGUCUUCUACAGGGGGUGGCUGAGCCAUCCUUUGAUUCUCUCUUUUAGUAGCCCCUCCACAGAAACAUUCAUCGYCGCCUUCAUUUCUGUAGGAUUCUCUGGGCGACUUCCUCAGUGGGUAGUGGGAGACCUGAACAAACCCAUUCCCUCCUUGGAGAGAGAUGCUAGCCGACUAGCUUGGCUCGCCUACCUCCAUCUCUCAAGCGACUUCCAAUGCUUUCGCCUCUUGGGCGAUUUGCUAUUAGUGUCGCAGCUCUGCUUCUCUUCCACUGGGGAUGGCGACGCUUCCUCGUUUCCAACUGCUCAUACACUGUAUGUCGCCUUCAUCUGGUUGGAACACGACUUGGGAGAUAUUUCUUGAUGAGCAGCUCUACAGGUCUACAGUCGAAGAUAAGACAAACUGAACAGGGCUUUCUCUCUCCUCUUCUUCGUCUUCUCUACAAUCGAACCCCUGUUCUAAAGCGAACCCUCUUCUUCGCCUUCUCUGCAAUCGAACCCCUGUCCCCUGUCCUAAAGGUCUCUAUUUUUUUCCUUUACUCGGAUCCAAGAGCAGGACCGUCAAGACAAGGGGCUCAGCGUUCAUCCAUGGAAGAUCUUGUUUUAGUUGUGUUAAACAAAAAUCUUUCGUUGAUUUGUGAAGUGGCAGAUUCUUGACGUUUCUGCUGGUAUUUCAAGUGGCAAAUUCCCGGCAUUGCUGCUACCAAAGUUCCAUGCUAGUAGCGACGAAAUUAUCAGUAGCAGAUCCUCCGUUAAAUUAAAGAAUUG